rnacentral:rRNA from 1 species
GAUGAACGCUGGCGGCGUGCCUAACACAUGCAAGUCGAGCGCGUCUGAUUUGAUGCUUGCAUUGAUGAAAGAUGAGCGGCGGACGGGUGAGUAACGCGUGGGUAACCUGCCCUAUACACAUGGAUAACAUACUGAAAAGUUUACUAAUACAUGAUAAUAUAUAUUUACGGCAUCGUAGAUAUAUCAAAGUGUUAGCGGUAUAGGAUGGACCCGCGUCUGAUUAGCUAGUUGGUGAGAUAACUGCCCACCAAGGCGACGAUCAGUAGCCGACCUGAGAGGGUGAUCGGCCACAUUGGAACUGAGACACGGUCCAAACUCCUACGGGAGGCAGCAGUGGGGAAUAUUGCACAAUGGGCGCAAGCCUGAUGCAGCAACGCCGCGUGAACGAUGAAGGUCUUCGGAUCGUAAAGUUCUGUUGCAGGGGAAGAUAAUGACGGUACCCUGUGAGGAAGCCCCGGCUAACUACGUGCCAGCAGCCGCGGUAAUACGUAGGGGGCUAGCGUUAUCCGGAUUUACUGGGCGUAAAGGGUGCGUAGGUGGUCUUUCAAGUCGGUGGUUAAAGGCUACGGCUCAACCGUAGUUAGCCUCCGAAACUGGAAGACUUGAGUGCAGGAGAGGAGAGUGGAAUUCCCAGUGUAGCGGUGAAAUGCGUAGAUAUUGGGAGGAACACCAGUAGCGAAGGCGGCUUUCUGGACUGCAACUGACACUGAGGCACGAAAGCGUGGGUAGCAAACAGG